GCCGACCAUCUCCCUGACUGAUCCUCCGACGACAUCCCAUCAUGGUUGAGGACCCCCGACGGCCUCAACCUUUGGCAACCACAGCAUGGCCAGCAACAGCGGCCGAUGUCGUGGAAGAAGAGGAGAAAAGGAAGAAAGCAGAGGAACCAUAUUCCUCCCAAAAUCUGGCAAUCUUCGGUGGAAAUCAAGCAAUUAACUUCUUUAACAAAGGUUGAAGGACCUUGA
rnacentral:lncRNA from 1 species